CAUAUUUUUUUCUCUGUUUCAAAAAGAGUGUCUAGUGGUCUGGGGAUUGCAACAUAUGGUACAGAGCAGACACAAUCCAAUUAACAUAGGAUUCAUAACAACAUAUUGUGACUGAUCUCUAUAGCCUCAGAGCAUAUUGGUUUGUGUUAUCGGUUUAAUCUAAAUAUUGUCACCUGUUCCUCAAGAUGAGCCAAAGGUGGAACAUGGCUUAAAACUGUCUUGUCUAAAAUAUCUGUUUCAUUGCAAUGCAUAGAACCAAAGAGGUGGAGGCUGCUUGUUCUUUGACAAGCAAUUUACCUCUUUGGGCUUCAGUUUCAUCAUUUAUGAAAACUGAGGCUUGAUUUGAUUACGUGGUUAAGACUAUAAUAAAUAAUUUGUAACAGGUAGAUAUAGGAGCUAUAAAAAUAAGAUAAAUGCAGAGAGGUAGAAAUAAAGCUCAGGAUUUGGGGUCAGAAAGCCUGGUUCAAAUCCAUGCUUUGCCACUUACCAGCUGGGCGACUUUGGAGAAGAUGCUAGAUCUCUACAUGGCAUCAUCUGUAAUGCUGAAAUAAUGGCACCAGACUCACAGUGUUGUUAUGAUGAUUAAAUGAUAUGUAUAACAAAGGUUAUAUCAAAAGUUAUGGGACAAUUGCUCAAUAAAUGUUUAUUAUCAUCAUCCCAAGAAACUGUAUAGAACUAGAUUUGUUGGCAACUGGCAAUUAACUGACAGGAAAAACAAAGCAUUCUGAUUUGGGAAUAAAUGUGAUUCUUUUAACCCAAAUAUCCAGUUAGAUCUUUCAAGUGCUAAAUCCAGAUACAGGCUCUCAGUUCAAGGUCAUUGCCACAAAGCCUUAGGUAACUAUCUUGAGUAGAUUUAUUGAACAAUUAGCUUGUAAAUUCCAGCCACUCCAGAAACCGAAAUACAUUUCCUCUCUUUGUUAAAUGUGAGCAUGUAAUCCAAUAUGUUUCAAACCCUUGGUCAUAAUUUUAAAAUUUCCAUAUUUUAAUGUGCACAUUGCAGGGUGUAUAAAUAAUGCCUCUCUUUAAUGACAAUAAUGUCCUCUUGGCUAGCAUGACAUGUGCUCACUUCCUCCAUGUAAAAUUCCUCCACAAAAAGUUAAAUAGGUUGGGCUGGAAUGAGAGAUUUUGUUUUAAAAAUUCUCCAGUUCUCAGGUCAGAAAGUCUGUUGUCCCCUCUGCAAAUGAAGGAGGGGUGAGGACCUUGAAAUUGUUCCCAUUGUUUUCUCUCUGGGCUUGGACAUGGGCUGUACACUAAUGUCCAGUUAAUUUUAGAGUGGGUGUAGCUAAGAACUAAGUAAGUGUUCAAAAGCAACCAGUAAGCCUCAUGUCUCCUUUACAUAUUGAUCUUGUAGAAGGGGAAGAAGGGGGAAGGGAAGGGAAUUAGUUGAAUGAAAGUGGAAUUGUGCUCCAGGUGUGUUGCAUACCUUUUUGAAUCCUCAAAAUAACCCUGGGGUGGAUCCUCUCUUUAAUUAGAUGGAAAGACACAGAGAGGCUAAGUAAAUUAUUCAUGCUCACACAGCUAAAAAGAAGUGAGUGUGAUAACAACCCAGUUGCAACUGAAUCCAAACCCAGGUGUGUCUGAAUCUUUGAACAUUACAUAACCCUGAUCACCACAGGGUUGGGAGCAUUUAUCACAGUUUUUAGGGUUGAACAGGAAUUGAAGGGGUAAGGAUUCCUAUUUUUGUGGUUUCUAAGUAAUCUAUUAAAUACAAAAGUAUAUGGUAGGGUACCUUGAUAGAUGGGUUCCCUACAAGUGAUUAAAUUUGUGGACUUUUUUUUUUUUUUUCUAUUUUGGUCAAGACCAGUUGCCAGCUUCUUCCAAAUAAAAUAGCAGUAAAUCUCCUUGAAACAGAUCUUCCAUGUCCUGAAAAAAGUUACCUGAGUGGUAUCUCUUGGCUAAGCAAGUGUAGGGAGAGUAUGUUUCAUUGUUCUGCUGUUUUGAGAGCCUUAAGCAUCUUAUAUGGGAAGUGGUUCUCUGUGAGAAAGAGGAUUGGUAUGGAGGCACAGAUGCUGGGACAAGUCCUAGCCCUGCUCUUCUGAGGACAGUUCAUGCUCUGAGAACUCACAAUAGUAUGUGGGACACCUCAGGGAGCUGGUAACAUUUGGGGUACAGGCAGUGAUGUAUUUACUGGUAAACAAAUUCUCCAAAACAAAACAAAAACAACUAAAAGCUUUUGUUCUUUUCUCACCAUGGCUGAUCUAAAGCUACCAACAUGACAUAAAUGAGUGGGAAGAGACACAUGCAUUCUGGAUCUCCCCUGGAACCACAGGCUCCAGCUCACCCAAUGGUGGAGAUCUAUUAGUGUGUGAGGACUUCUGCACUGAAUGUUCCACUAGGGAAAAGGCUUCCUGGAAUGAGAGAGCUCUCAGUUUCUCUGCUAGGCCUCAGAUCUGAUUUUCAAAAUCAGCAUAGCUGGUGUAGCUAGCAUCCACCUCUGCUGCGGAGACACAAUUGUCAGUCUCUGCAUCUGUGAGCAACAGACAUAAUGCCACUUUGGCAUCCUAGGGAGAUUCCACUGCAGCCUGACUCUACUGCCUCUCCUCCGUAGGACAACUAACUAAAUGUCCCAUUCUCUCCACCUGGGGGUAGGGACCAGUGUCGGAGGUGAGAGCACUUUCUGGGAGAACACUUUCCUUGCCCUAUUUAGCUGGAGGUCCCCUUCAUUGAAAUUAAUGCUGGUGUGGGCUGCCAACCCUGGAAACCCACUGCUAAUGAGGAUGAUGGCUGAGCUGGGCACUUAGUCCAGGCUUAGCAUUUCCUAUAAGAGCCCUGAAGCUAGUUUCUGUUCAGGAGCUGGAGCAACAAGUCAGGAGGAGGCCAAAUGAACUCCUACCCCUCAAACAUGCACAGCGAUUUCUGGAUGCAUUGUGGGGAAUGGGGCUGCAAUCUGCCGAAGGAAAAGAUGGGAUUCUGUCCCCUAAGAAAAGUGAUUACGAGAUGCCCAGCAAAGACAAAUAUAUUUGUCCCUGUUGCUACAAUAGGAAGUUAACAAUCUGGCAAGAUAUCUGAACACAAGCAAAUGAAAACAGUUCACCUAACACCCAUUCAAAUUAUAAAUUUCCUCCCAUAUACAAAAUGAUGAGAAAUAACAGCAAAAAUGUAUAUUUUCUUAUUUUUGAACUUUGAAAGUUCUAGUUUGGUCUUUGAAUCAAAACAAAGUAAAAGAUGUUUAUAAAAGCCAUUUCCUUUUCUUUCCCCACUAUGCUCAUUUGACUUGCUCUUCCCCCUAUAGGGUACCCUGAGUCAUUCAGAGAAGGAGAAUUAAUAGCACUGAGUUGGUGAUGAAGCUCCUGUUAGGACAUAUGGCUUCACAAAAAGAAAUACUUCCAGAUAAGUCAGAGAGACAGUUGAACGUCUUGAGCAAAUCUUGAAAGAGAGGGAAGAAAGCAGAAGUUGUUGGGUGGUGCUUGUAAGAAAAAGGCUCACACGAUGAGGACCAGCUUCUUGUGGAUCUCCAGGUCUCUGACCACAGCACUGAAUUCCUCAAAGGAUAUCUUCCCAUCGCCAUCCUUGUCCAGGAUGAUGAUGGUUUUGUCGACCAGCUGCUGGAGCUGCCAGUCCGUCAGGUUGUUGCCCACCAUCAUCUUCAGCACCUGGAAGAGCUCCCCGUUGGAAAUGUAGCCAUCUUUAUCCAUGUCGUAAAUGCUGAACGCAAACCUCAACUUCUGCUCCUCGUUGCCCUUGACGCUGAACUGGGAGGUCCCCAGGAUGAAUUCCUUGAAGUCCACUUCUCCAUCACCGUCGGUGUCGAAGACGUCGAUCACUCGCCGCACCAACGGGUUGUGGCGCAGCUCCGGCAGGGACAUGAACUCCUCCACGCUCAGAGACCCUGAUUUGUCCAAGUCCAACUUCUUAAACCUCCUGCCCAGCCUUUUAAUUUCAUCAUUGUCAAAGUGGGAGCACAUCUCCGCCGGGUAACUGGCCUCGUUUCCCAUUGUGGACAUCUGGCAACGGCCACGGCUCACAGGGUCGGAGAGGGGAGCAGGGGCGGUGAGCUCGGGCGGGGCUCGUGCCCGGACGGUUGGGCCAUGGGGUGGGGGUAGAGGGCUCCCGGGGGCCCUGGUCGAGCAAAAGGGCAGGGGAGCGGAGGGAGGGGCGGCAGUAAACCCCAAAGGAGAAGGGAUCGCACCUGUGUUAUUCGCUGCAGUAUCCCAGAAGCACAGUGCUUCACAGGCAAUAUGUGCUUAAUAAAUAUACGCCGAAUGACUGAACUGCAACCAAGGACACUGUAUACUUGCUUUACAGACCUAGUGUAAGGAUGAAACAAGGUGACACAUCAAGGCAUUGAUAUACCCGAAUCCUCAGAGCCUGGAGGCAACUCCUCUCUGCACAGGGAAUAGAGGUGAGUGAGGAGUCCCAUUUCCUGUGAUCCCCCACAGACUUUAGUGCAUGGAAGUCUAAAAAAAUGGAAGGAAGACUGUCUCUCACAAUAGUCCUAAUCAGUUUGAGCACCGUUCAUACCUUUUAGUUGCAUAGUAAAUAGCAUUUCAUAAAUAUUCAUGAGUUUGCUGAAUUUAACCAGGGGAAAAGCAAGAACUCUUAACAGUAUGUGGUCUUGGGUGUAAUUUAUGCCCAAGUAUCUCUGGCAUAUAAA
rnacentral:lncRNA from 1 species